rnacentral:rRNA from 1 species
AGAGCCCAAGAUUGAAAGCUGGCGUCUUCGGCGUCUGCAUUGUAAUCUCAAGAAGUGUUUUCCGCUUCGGACCAUGCCUAAGUCCCUUGGAAAAGGGCAUCAUAGAGGGUGAUAAUCCCGUACAUGGCAUGGAGCGCCCGAAGCUUUGUGAUACGCUUUCUAAGAGUCGAGUUGUUUGGGAAUGCAGCUCAAAAUGGGUGGUAAAUGCCAUCUAAGGCUAAAUAUUGGGGAGAGACCGAUAGCGAACAAGUACAGUGAUGGAAAGAUGAAAAGAACUUUGAAAAGAGAGUUAAACAGUACGUGAAAUUGCCAAAAGGGAAGGGUAGGAGGUCAGAGAUGCGUCUUGGGAUUCAGCCUUGCUUUUUGCAUGGUGUUUUUCCCAAGUUGCAGGCCAACGUCGGUUUUGGGCACUGGAGAAGGGUGGAAGGAACGUGGCACCUCUCGGGGUGUGUUAUAGCCUUCUGCUGGAUACAGCGACCGAGACCGAGGACAGCAGCGUACUCGCAAGAGCGGGCCUUCGGGCACCUUUACGCUUAGGGCGUUGGCAUAAUGGCCCUCUACCACCCGUCUUGAAA